ACCGUGCUUCUACACCUGCAUUGCUUGAUGUUUGGGGUUUUAGGCUGGGUUUCUGUACAACACUUUGUGACAUCAGCUGAUGUAAAUACAUUUGAUUGAUUGAAGAUUCGGUUCAUGAGUUAAUGGUUUCACUGAGUGUGCCUCAAAUACCACUUUUAGUGUGUAAGUGAUUGUAAAAAACUGUAAAGUACUGUAAUCCAGUGUAUUGUGCCUCACCAUAUUGACUGCGCUAGGUCUGUCACAUAUUGUCUUGUUGUCUGUUUCAGAGAGUCUUGGAGCUGGAUGCCGCUGCAAUUCAGCACGUUUAUAUUUACAUUGAUGAGGCUGGCUUCAGCCUAGCCAAAAGAAAGGGACGGAACGUUAUUGGCCACCGUGUCAUUGUGAAUGUCCCUGUACAGCAUGGCGGGAAUAUCUCCAUGUGCGCAGCCGUUAGCCAGCAAGGCGUCCUCCAUCACCAUGCCAACCUUGGUCCCUAUCACACUGCCCUUCUCAUCACAUUCCUGGACACACUACAUGGCAUCCUCAUUCCAGCCGAGCAGAGGGUGGACCAGAACAGUCCAGCAUGGCGAUGGAAGGUGUAUGACCGCCAUCCCCUCGCACGCAUGCCUCUUCUCCAGGCAAAGGAAGUGGGUGUGGGGGCUUUCGGCGGCUGGAUCAGUCACUCCGGAAGAUUCUUUCACUGCUGUUUAGCCAGAUAGAACAUGGCUUGUGAUGUAGAUGAGGUGCUGUGGCCAGAACAAAAUAGGAGGCAGGAUGCAGCCUAAUGUCUAUUUUCUUACAUUUUACAUGUGUUUUUGUCUUUGUUAGAGAUUUGAAAGAAUGAGCCACUUUCAUUUUGUAUUUUUGUACAGAAAACCCUUUAUCUUACUGAAUGUUUUUCCUGGUUUUCUCCUGUUUGGUAUCAAAAGUGUUACAUAUACAGCAUUUGAGAAAUAAAUUACAAUGUUUUUGUUACUGUA